rnacentral:rRNA from 1 species
AAUGAACGUUGGCGGCGUGGAUUAGGCAUGCGAGUCGUGCGAGAACCGUAGCAAUACGGGGACAGCGGCGAAAGGGGAGAGGAACACGUGGAUACCUACCCUCAGGGUUCAGGAUAGCUAUGGGAAACUAUAGGUAAUACUGAAUAAUAUCUCCGGAUCAAAGGUGUGAUUCCGCCGGAGGAGGGGUCCGCGUCCUAUUAGCUAGUUGGUGAGGUAAUGGCUCACCAAGGGCGAAGAUGGGUACGGGAUGUGAGAACAUGAUCCCGCUCAUUGGGACUGAGACACUGCCCAGACACCUACGGGUGGCUGCAGUCGAGAAUCUUCGGCAAUGGGGGAAACCCUGACCGAGCGACGCCGCGUGUGAGAUGAAGGCCUUCGGG